rnacentral:tRNA from 1 species
CCCUGCUGGAGCUGCGGUUCUUCCGCAGCGCGCCGUUCAGCGGCGCCACACUGAUCGCGGUGUCCGCGUUCGGCGCCCUGGCCGGGU